GAUGAACGCUGGCGGCGUGCCUAAUACAUGCAAGUCGAGCGAACGGACGAGAAGCUUGCUUCUCUGAUGUUAGCGGCGGACGGGUGAGUAACACGUGGAUAACCUACCUAUUAUACUGGGUUAACUUCGGAAAACCGUACCUAUUACCGCAUGAUAUUUUGAACCGCAUGCUUCAAAAGUGAAUGACGGUCUUCCUGUCACUAAUAGAUGGUUCGGCGCUGCAUUAGCUAGUUGGUAAGGUAACGGCUUACCAAGGCAACGAUGCAUACCCGGCCUGAGAGGGUGAUCGGCCACACUGGAACUGAGACACGGUCCAGACUCCUACGGGAGGCAGCAGUAGGGAAUCUUCCGCAAUGGGCGAAAGCCUGACGGAGCAACGCCGCGUGAGUGAUGAAGGUCUUCGGAUCGUAAAACUCUGUUAUUAGUGAAGAACAUAUGUGUAAGUAACUGUGCACAUCUUGACGGUACCUAAUCAGAAAGCCACGGCUAACUACGUG
rnacentral:rRNA from 1 species